CGUGGCGAGAAAAGAAAAACUAAACAAUAACCAAAUUUUCUAAUAAAAAUCCCUAAAUUUUCUAUCCCACAAUCACCACGAUCUCUACAUCGCAGAAACUGUUUCAUCUUCCUCUAUAAAUUUAACUCACCAUGAACUCAAAACUCAUUUACUCAAGUAAAGCAAAGUUUUUUUUUUUAUAUAUAUUUCAUCUUUCACAAUCUGUUAUGUUGUUUAUGUUUCCAGAAAAUUCCAGAGAUAUAUGCAUGUCUCGAUCGGCUCCGUCUCCGACUUGAAAACGUCUUCAGCCUCUUCUAAUUACCGUGGAUGUUGGCAACGAGUUCCUAAGUAACCUAUCACUGGGGUAAUAGGACUGUGAGCACAGCGACGGGAGACUGGAAAAGCUAGCUUCCAGGCAAAAAAAUCUUCGUGAAUGGAAGGAAGUGGAGGAUUGGAGAAAAGUGGUUAAUAGUAUGGAACAUAUGCUUUCCAUGGAAGGGGCUUGCAUUUUCGACAGUGUAUAGGAAUUCGAAGGCAAGAACAUAUGAUGCCAAGGCGCUCUUCUUCUCCGGUGCAUCAUACAACGCAAAUGUAUAUGGAAUCUUUACGUUUGUGAGCUCUUUGACUUACCACGGGCUGUGAAGCAUAAUCUUACAAUCGGAGAACCAAUCAUCGAUGUCUAAAUAGUGUUUUUUCAUCACCAUAGGACUAACGGGAGUCUCAGACCAUUUUUUCUAGCCAUAAGAGAUCACCAUAUACGAAAGAAGUAGGGUUUACCUAUCUCGAAGUCGAGAGACAAAAGGAGUCAUAAUGAAAUAAUCAAGGUUUUUUUUCCUUCUAUCUCUGAUUCUCUCAUGUUAGCAUUUAAAAUCUCUUUUUUUUCUUUCAUAUAGCUUUUGUAUGCUUGAAGAAAUUGUUUAUAGCUAACAUAUGAUUAGCAGUUAUUAAUAAUUCAAAAUUGUUUGUAUGGCUGUGAUUAGAUUAUUUAGACAACAAGAAAACUUACACUUUACCUAGGAAAUGUGUCAUCAAAAAAAUGUAAUCUGGAAAUCAGACACGAAGGAGAGCAAAACACAAGAAUGCAUCAUUGAUGGAAUUAUAUGUGUAAGUAUGGCAUUCUAUUAUUUAAUUAGAUUAGUUUACUUUCUUGGUUAUGUAUUAACAUUUUUUUU